rnacentral:rRNA from 1 species
AUGAACGCUGGCGGCGUGCCUAAUACAUGCAAGUCGAGCGAACAGACGAGGAGCUUGCUCCUCUGACGUUAGCGGCGGACGGGUGAGUAACACGUGGAUAACCUACCUAUAAGUCUGGGAUAACUUCGGGAAACCGGAGCUAAUACCGGAUAAUAUAUUGAACCGCAUGGUUCAAUAGUGAAAGACGGUUUUGCUGUCACUUAUAGAUGGAUCCGCGCCGCAUUAGCUAGUUGGUAAGGUAACGGCUUACCAAGGCGACGAUGCGUAGCCGACCUGAGAGGAUGAUCGGCCACACUGGAACUGAGACACGGUCCAGACUCCUACGGGAGGCAGCAGUAGGGAAUCUUCCGCAAUGGGCGAAAGCUUGACGGAGCAACGCCGCGUGAGUGAUGAAGGUCUUCGGAUCGUAAAACUCUGUUAUUAGGGAAGAACAAAUGUGUAAGUAACUAUGCACGUCUUGACGGUACCUAAUCAGAAAGCCACGGCUAACUACGUG